UUCAUCAAGAGUAACGGAGGGAUUGGCCCCAUGAUGUUACGGCAACCAUCAUACAUGCGUAUGAACGGUGCUAAGUCCAGCAGGAUGAAUUCCUGAGAGAUGAA
rnacentral:ncRNA from 1 species